AACGCGAAGAACCUUACCCAGGCUUGACAUCCUGCCAAGUUUUCCGAAAGGAAAAUGUGCCUUCGGGCCGCAGUGACAGGUGAUGCAUGGCCGUCGUCAGCUCGUGUCGUGAGAUGUUAGGUUAAGUCCUUCAACGAGCGCAACCCUUAUUACCAGUUGCCAUCAUUAAGUUGGGCACUCAGGUGAGACCGCCUCGGAUAACGGGGAGGAAGGCGGGGAUGACGUCAAGUCCUCAUGGCCUUUAUGUCCAGGGCUACACACGUGCUACAAUGGCCGGUACAAACCGUCGCAAACCCGUGAGGGGGAGCUAAUCGGAAAAAGCCGGCCUCAGUUCGGAUUGUAGUCUGCAACUCGACUACAUGAAGCUGGAAUCGCUAGUAAUCGCGGAUCAGAACGCCGCGGUGAAUACGUUCCCGGGCCUUGUACACACCGGAGUA
rnacentral:rRNA from 1 species